CAUAGUAGCUGCCAACAUGAAUGAUAAGUUCUAUCAAGGAAAACAGAGAAUUGCUUAUGCUCAGUUUUUGGGGUGGAAAUGGUCCCUCCCUCAGAGAAAGAAUAUUUUCAAAACAGUGUAUGAGAAGCAGUCUAUUUUCCCAUCAUUUUAAUUUGAAUACUUUCUGUAACUGCUUUAUAUUUAAUGCCAUUUGUUUUUUUCUCUUGCCUCUGAGCACUAUUGAGACUAAUGGAUUCUUCUGUUUCCUUUUUUCAGAGAGAUACCAGUGGUUAAAGAGUUGGUUAAUAAACCUGGUCUUCGUUCUUGCUGAGACUUACAGAGAUGAUGGUGGCAUUGUUUGGUCAAAACAAAAAUUCCAGGAAAGUAUGGAAAGAAGAAAUACUGUGUAAAUUCUUGCACACCGUGCUUUCCACUGUACAAGUGCCUAACAG
rnacentral:lncRNA from 1 species